UCCUACGGGAGGCAGCAGUGGGGAAUUUUGGACAAUGGGCGAAAGCCUGAUCCAGCAAUGCCGCGUGUGUGAAGAAGGCCUUCGGGUUGUAAAGCACUUUUGUCCGGAAAGAAAUCCUUGGCUCUAAUACAGUCGGGGGAUGACGGUACCGGAAGAAUAAGCACCGGCUAACUACGUGCCAGCAGCCGCGGUAAUACGUAGGGUGCGAGCGUUAAUCGGAAUUACUGGGCGUAAAGCGUGCGCAGGCGGUUUGCUAAGACCGAUGUGAAAUCCCCGGGCUCAACCUGGGAACUGCAUUGGUGACUGGCAGGCUAGAGUAUGGCAGAGGGGGGUAGAAUUCCACGUGUAGCAGUGAAAUGCGUAGAGAUGUGGAGGAAUACCGAUAGCGAAGGCAGCCCCCUGGGCCAAUACUGACGCUCAUGCACGAAAGCGUGGGGAGCAAACAGGAUUAGAUACCCUGGUAGUCCACGCCCUAAACGAUGUCAACUAGUUGUUGGGGAUUCAUUUCCUUAGUAACGUAGCUAACGCGUGAAGUUGACCGCCUGGGGAGUACGGUCGCAAGAUUAAAACUCAAAGGAAUUGACGGGGACCCGCACAAGCGGUGGAUGAUGUGGAUUAAUUCGAUGCAACGCGAAAAACCUUACCUACCCUUGACAUGGUCGGAAUCCCGCUGAGAGGUGGGAGUGCUCGAAAGAGAACCGGCGCACAGGUGCUGCAUGGCUGUCGUCAGCUCGUGUCGUGAGAUGUUGGGUUAAGUCCCGCAACGAGCGCAACCCUUGUCCUUAGUUGCUACGCAAGAGCACUCUAAGGAGACUGCCGGUGACAAACCGGAGGAAGGUGGGGAUGACGUCAAGUCCUCGUGGCCCUUAUGGGUAGGGCUUCACACGUCAUACAAUGGCCGGAACAGAGGGUUGCCAACCCGCGAGGGGGAGCUAAUCCCAGAAAACCGAUCGUAGUCCGGAUUGCACUCUGCAACUCGAGUGCAAGAAGCUGGAAUCGCUAGUAAUCGCGGAUCAGC
rnacentral:rRNA from 1 species